CAUGUACUUUAUCUUAGAUUGUAUCUAGGACCAAAGCCAUGUAAUUUUCCUAUGAUCAAUGUAAAUUCAAUUUCAAAUUAAUAAAAUGAGGAAUUUUUCAUUCAUAGUUUUCUUAUUUUUCCAAUAAUUAAAUAAGUGGCGACUCCAUUGUAAACCCUUAAUCUAAAGGGAAAAAUAUAACUAGUCGAACCUCCAUUUUGAGAGGCAAUAACACGAUUCCACCCAUUCACGUAGGUUUGGCCCAACAUCCAAUGAAAACGGGCCGGGGGCACGGUCUCUCACACUGAGACACGGCCCAGACUCCUACGGGAGGCAGUAGUGGGGAAUUCUCCACAAUGGGUGAAAGCUUGACGGAGCAAUGCCGUGUGGAGGUAGAAGGCCAGCAGCCGCAGUAAUACAGAGGAUGCAAGCGUUAUCUGGAAUGAUUAGGCGUAAAGCGUCUGUUGGUGGCUUUUUAAGUCCGCUGUCAAAUCCCAGGGCUCAACCUUGGACAGGCGGUGGAAACUACCAAACUGGAGUACGGUAGGGGCAGAGGGAAUUUUCGGUGGAGCGGUGAAAUGCGUGGAGAUUGGAAAGAACACCAACGGCAAAAGCACUUUGCUGGGCCGACAUUGACACUGAGAGACGAAAGCUAGGGGAGCGAAUGAGAUUAGAUACCUCAGUAGUCCUAGCCGUAAACGAUGGAUACUAGGCACUAUGCGUAUUAACUCGUGCAGUGCUGUAGCUAACACGUUAAGUAUCCCGCCUGGGGAGUACAUUCGCAAGAAUGAAACUCAAAGGAAUUGACGGGGGCCCGCACAAGCGGUGGAGCAUGUGGUUUAAUUCGAUGCAAAGCGAAGAACCUUACCAGGGCUUGACAUGCCACCAAUCCUCUUGAAAGAGAGGGGUGCCUUUGGGAACGCAGACACAGGUGGUGCAUGGCUGUCGUCAGCUCAUGCCGUAAGGUGUUGGGUUAAGUCCCGCAACAAGUGCAACCCUCGUGUUUAGUUGCCAUCGUUGAGUUUAGAACCCUGAGCAAACUACCAGUGAUAAGCCGGAGGAAGGUGAGGAUGACGUCAGGUCAUCAUGCCCCUUAUGCAAUGGGCGACACACAUGCUACAAUGGCCGAGACAAAGGGUCGCGAUCCUGCGAGGGUGAGCUAACCCCAAAAACCCGUCCUCAGUUCGGAUUGUAGGCUGUAACUCGCCUGCAUGAAGCCGGAAUCGCUAGUAAUCGCCGGUCAGCCAUACGGUGGUGAAUUCGUUCCCGAGCCUUAUACACACCUUCUGUCACACUAUGGGAGCUGGCCAUGCCCGAAGUCGUUACCUUAACCACAAGGAGGGGGAUGCCGAAGGCAGGGCUAGUGACUGGAGUGAAGACGUAACAAGGUAGCUGUAUUGGAAGGUGCGGCUG
rnacentral:rRNA from 1 species